UUCCAUCAGAGUAUUCUGUCAUAGCACUGGCAUCAAAGCUCCUCUGUGACCUGCUCCUGGAUGAAUCCAUUGUAGAAAAGGGUGGCGUUUUAUACGACUUCCAAUUCUCUUCAGGCUCUAGAUCUUUUCGCAAUUCAUCAUUUGGCUUUAGAGAAUUUCGCACAGACAGACUUCUUAUAGGUGUUUCUGGUGAAUACUGAACCUGAUUUUUUGAUACCUUUUCUUUAUUCUUCUUUUUGGAGGCUGAAAGAGGAUGGUUGUCAACCUUCAUAUUCACGAGUGGUGUAUCGAAAUCAUCAUUCUUACUCUCCAAGUAUACAUCACUUUCACCCAAUGAUUUCCUUUUAGCUUUCUUUAGACUAGCUCUUAAAGCAGAAUUAGCUGCUCUCCUCUUUGCCUGUAUGUAGUGCUUCUCACAAACCGUUUUAUCUGGCAUAGACAUGGCAGUGCAUCUCCAUUGUUUCCCAUCUGACCUCUUGCAACGUAAAUCAUCCGGAAUCCCAACCUGAUCUUCACCAUUCCCAGAGGCUGAUCGUGGGUUAUCCAUCAUAGUCACGUAUUAAAGUUCAACAGGAAUUUAAAACUACAGUUUUCUGCUCAAGAAACAGUCUGAGUCUAGGGUUUGACAAAGCGAAUUGGAGGUGUAAGUUGGGAAGAGGUAGAUAAAAGGAGAAGCGUACGAGACAUGGUAUUGUUCGAUAAUAGCUAAGGAUUGAGGAAUCACAGAUUUUAACGGACGGGACGGCCUCCGUUUGUCUCUCCUCCUACUUACGGUUCCCGCUCCAAACUGCUCGUUUCU
rnacentral:misc_RNA from 1 species